CCGCGAUAGGUCACGAUUUCUGGAAUGGAUCAUGGCUUAAAUCUACAUGGCCCCUGGAUUGGACUGCGGCCGAUCAGGCUGUUGGUGAGGUAAUGGCCCACCAAACCUAUAACCGGUACGGGCUCUGAGAGGAGAAGCCCGGAGAUGGGCACUGAGACAAGGGCCCAGGCCCUAUGGGGCGCAGCAGGCGCGAAACCUCUGCAAUAGGCGAAAGCCUGACAGGGUUACUCUGAGUGAUUUCCGCUAAGGGGAUCUUUUGGCACCUCUAAAAAUGGUGCAGAAUAAGGGGUGGGCAAGUCUGGUGUCAGCCGCCGCGGUAAUACCAGCACCCCGAGUGGUCGGGACGAUUAUUGGGCCUAAAGCAUCCGUAGCCGGUUCUGCAAGUCUUCCGUUAAAUCCAGCCGCUCAACGGAUGGGCCGCGGAGGAUACUACAGGACUAGGAGGCGGGAGAGGCAAGCGGUACUCAGUGGGUAGGGGUAAAAUCCUUUGAUCCAUUGAAGACCACCAGUGGCGAAGGCGGCUUGCCAGAACGCGCUCGACGGUGAGGGAUGAAAGCUGGGGGAGCAAACCGGAUUAGAUACCCGGGUAGUCCCAGCUGUAAACGAUGCAGACUCGGUGAUGGGCUAGCCUUGUGCCAGCCCAGUGCCGC
rnacentral:rRNA from 1 species